rnacentral:tRNA from 1 species
GACAACGUGCCAGAGUGGUUAAUGGGUAUGACUCGAACGACCACCUCUACUAGAUAUCAUAUGCCUUCGGGCGCGCAGGUUCGAAUCCUGCCGUUGUCG